rnacentral:lncRNA from 1 species
GCAAAUUAAGCGUGCACUCUCAACCAACAUACCAGAAUAAGUUCUAAAUCAAACGGUUAAGCAAAUUGUAUUCACGACUUAUACAACGAUAACUGAAAGUAAUCAACUUAUUUCACAUAUAUAAUCAUGGUUUUGAAUCCACCCUUAGCCAAAACAAAUUUAGCCAAUCAUACUUAAAGCAAAACAAAGAUUAUAUGAAUUAGACAUUGAAAUAUAAGAUAGAAAACACCUAAAAUCGUUCAACAACUCAGAAUGAAGAGCCAAACAAUCAUAGUGAAUAUGUCCCCUUCCUUGCUUGCGGCAGAUUGGGUUGUGAAGAUGUUUUGGGUAGUUUUAUGGUGUAGAAUUGAUGGGGAAUGGUAUGGAGAGGUUUAGGGCGAGUGUGGAGGAGUGUUUGAUGGUUGGAGGAUGGUAGAGAACUCGGCAAAGAGGGUGGAAGAAGGUGGAGUGGCUGUUAUGUUUUCUGGGCACUAGAAUGGUGUUUUUGGGGUGUUUGGCUGCCUAGGGUGUGCAUGGACGAAUUUUCUGUGAUGAAUGAUGAAUAUGGGAGGUUCAACCCUUUGCCAAGGGUUGUAAACAUGUAUAUAUAGGCCCCAAA